AAUGUCUCGUUUGAUGAAAUGAAGGCAAGGAUUAAUGCAAAAAUUGUAAGACGUUGUGGGAGAAGGAUAGUAAAAAUUUUCUACAAGUUUCCAGUUUCGACAAAUCCAGUCAAAUUUGUCGAAAUGGAACUUGCAGACGACGAAGACGUUGAGACAAUGGUCGAUCUCUACUGUGGGAAUGGGAGUGACAAGAAUGCACCGAUUCACUUAUUUGCUGAGUUAGUCGGUAUGGAGCAAAAUGCAUCUGAUGAAGAAGACGGGGCUGAAGAACCGCGAAUGGUGGCUCCAAUAUCAUACGUUGAUAGUGAAUCAACUAUGGGUGGGAUCGGUAUCGACCUGAAUAUUACACCCGAUGUUGAUAUGGUUAGUGGUUGCGAAGAAUGUGGUUGCGAAGAAGAAGGUGGUGGCGAUCAUUGGGAUGAAGAGGUCGAUAGUGACGGUGAUCCCGAUGUGGACGAUGUACCUGAUGAUAUCGACAAUGAAGACAUUAAUGCUUCUUCGAUCGGGGAGCAGAUGCGGCAUAUUUUGAUACACAAUAAUCCUGGGGCACACAUGUCGCUCAUAGACCCCGACGCAGCGUAUGUAGCUGAGUUCCCAGAGUACCCUGAAAUAGUUCAUCGUCACGGGCUGGCCGUAACAUCUGAUGAUGAGGAGUUAUUAAUAGGCCAGAGAUUCAGCUGUAAAGAAGAGUGCGUAUAUGCCAUCAAACGGUACAGCAUGAAUAUAUCAGUUGAUUAUAAAGUCACAGUGUCUACUCCGACAAUAUAUGUUGGGGAGUGUUGGAAGGCAGCGGAAGGCUGCAAUUGGUGGGUGCGAGCUGCAUUCAUUAAAAGUUCUUAGAUGUGGGAGAUACGAAAAUUUGUUGGUCCUUAUACAUGCACAUCAACACGUAUGACAGAAGAUCAUGGAAAACUUGAUUCAAAAACAAUCUGUACGUGUAUCAUGCCUAUGGUAAAGGACAUGCCGACCAUUAAAGUUUCAGUACUGAUUGCCGAAAUGCAAGCACGAUUCCAGUAUCGAGUCUCAUAUCGGAAGGUAUGGAUUGCUAAUCAGAUGGUGAUGGAGCAAUUGUAUGGAGAUUACAAUUCAUCGUAUAACGAGCUUCAAGGUUGGAUAGCUGCUAUGCGGGAGUAUGUACCGGGGACUGUGAUUGAGUUGCAGACAAGGCCAUAUUACGGCCUGGAUGACCAGUUACAGCCGGCAAAAAGGAUUUUCCAUCGGAUGUUCUGGACGUUUGAUCCAUGUGUGCGGGCAUUUCCCCACUGCAAGCCACUUGUGCAGGUGGAUGGGACCUGGCUGUAUGGAAAAUAUACAUAGAUCCUACUUCUUGCAGUUGUUCAAGACAGCAACAGAAACGUGCUCCCGAUAGCAUUUGCUAUCGUAGAUAAAGAGAUCAUGGAGUCUUGGGAAUUCUUCCUCACAAACCUGCGGAGGUAUGUUAUUAGCAACGAUAACAUUUGCAUCAUUUCCGAUAGAGGGAAGGGUUUAAUUGCAGCAAUCAAGCGUUCUGGUGUGCCGUGGAGAUCCAUUUACUGCAUCCGUCACAUUGCGGCUAACUUCCACAAAGAUUACAAGAAUGUAGACUGGAAGAGACAAGUCGUGGCAAUGGGUAAAUGAUAACCUUAUAUUUUCAAUAUAAGUUGUAAUGUUUCAUGUUAUGGAGUUACUAGAACUUAUUUUUCUUAAUAUGUAUGCAGCGUACGAGUUAGAGCCACAUAUGUUCCGGCAAAAAAUGAUCCGACUUGAGAGUGACAUGGAGGGCCAGACAAACACAUCUUUCCGACAAUGGUUGGGCACAUGGAGCCGUGGCAAUGGGCUCAAAGUUUUGACGAGGGCUUUUGUUAUGGCCAAAUGACCACAAACUUAGUCAAGGGGAUCAACGCUGUUUUGUUAAAAACACAUCAUCUUCCGGUUGCAUCUGUAUUUUUUGCUACUUUCUACAGGCUGGCUACUUUGAUACCAAGAAUGGGUCAGCAGCAAGUCGACCAGAUUGAGGCGGGACACGUGUUUCUCGAACAUGUUAGGGAUACAAUGGUCACAAACCAUCGGUUGGCGAGGUCAAUGAAUGUAGAAAUAUAUCCACGACGACUGGAAACAUUUCGAGUUACUGAGAGCAUCAGUCGUCGACCUGGUAUACCAACUAGGUCCUAUGGAGUUGAUCUCCAGAACCGACGGUGCUAGUGCAGAAGGUUCGAAACACUUUAUUAUCCCUGUGCGCAUGUCGUGGCAGCGUGUGCUAAAGUUAACGUCAAUGUUGAACAAUAUGUCGAUGAUGUGUACACGCUGGAGUGCACAUUGCGUGUCUGGGAAAAUGAGUUCCCCGUCUUGCCUGACCUAUCAACGUGGGAGGUGCCUCUGAUGACUUUCGAGCUUCUCCCAGACAGAGGGCUGCGGAGGAAUCCGAGAGGUCAUCCGCAGUCAAGCAGAAUCUGUAAUGAAAUGGACAUCAAGGAGAAGUCUGACGAAAAGCAUUGUGGAAUAUGCAGGUUAAGUGGUCAUAGUCAGAAUAAAUGCCCUAACCGAAACUUUCAUGUUGGACAGUCGUCCGGAUCGGGUCGUAAUUGACCUAAUAUUGUAAGAUUUUUAUGUGUAAUGAUAAAAAACUAUACAAAUGAUUAUGAUUACAUUGUAUCCAAAUUAAGUUAUAAAAUAGUAUAUGGCGUUUGGAAUUAUUAAUAUUAUAUCGAAAAUGGAGGCAUAUAACCUUAAAUUAAGCUUUAAUAUAAUGCAACUUUAAAAUAAUUAAAUUGGUAAAAAGAAAUUGAACAAUAACCACAAUAACUGAAACUAUAAUAAUUAAAUUGAUACAAAAAAGUACAAACGUGUUAAUGCACAAACAUGUGCCAUACACCCCUAAAAUUGAUGGUUCGAUGGUGUAGUCCUAGGGGUAUACCUAUUCGGAGGUCGACGGUCACGUUCUGGGUGCCUGCGACGACUGACAUUAUCAUUUGGCGCAGGUGGUGGUGUAGUAAAAAUAGAGAGGAAAUCAUUUUGAGCAGGUCCCUCGUUCGGUAGCGACGAACUUGAUGCACCUGAGGGAGUCCCAUAAUGCUGCGGAUAUGGGCCAGGCGAGUAGGAUCCGAAUAGUUCAAAGUCGUAUGCAUAUUCUGGCCCUGAGAAGCUCGACAAAUUGUUAGUGCCUGACAAUUCCGGAUGAUAGCUAUCUGAACCGACAAAUCCAGAUUGUUCCGGAUCUGGCUGGGGCUCCUGCUCGGGCUCCAGUGGUUCCGGAGAAUAAUAUGCCAUGGGAUCUGCAUCAUGCUGGGCUGCUGUGGCCGAUCCCCCAUGUCGCUGCAUGUGCGGGGGGAUUACAACAAACUGGCCUCCGUAUAAAUAUGACUUCCCGCAACUAAAGUACCAUUGCAUAUACUCUUCUGAUGGUUGCAAGUCGGUAGCCAUAACCAUCUGAGGUAUUCGACGAAAUCGAUUGUUCCACAGCGCCACAAAUUUUCGGUGCUUAAUUCCUCAAUCUAUCACUGAUUUUCCUCUCUUAUUCUUGCCGUGAACUUCUCCCACCUCACACUGCGGAUCCGGGAUAGGUUGGAUGAAGCCAAACUGCCGUAGCACCCGAUCCCCGUGAUACCACUCGACCAUGUUGAAAUUUAUAAUUGGUGCGUUAGUGCACCAUAUGUACGAAUGCACGUACGCAGACGAGGGUACCACGGCGGUAAUUUCUGGCGUUCGGUACGGCGUCCAUAUAAACUGCAUGAUUAAUAACAUGGUUAUAAUUAGUCAUAACGUGUGCGUAAGAUAUAGAAAGUAAGAUGUCAUGAAUAUGGCUAUAGCAUGAAUAUUAGAAUAGCAUCUUACCCCAUCCCGGGCAUACUGUUCAAUCAUGAGGUGGUAUAGCGGGACAUUGUACGACUGCCCGAUACCCGGACGACCACUCCACCCACAAAAAACAAAUAUAGCGUUUAGAGUUGGUUGGUAACAUUAGUCAAUAUAUUAUGACUACAAAUAACGAGAAGUUAUAUUUUAUCACCUGUUCAGCAGUGGAUAAACAUACGGUUGGUGUCUAACUGAUGCCAAAAAUGGCAUCCGAUACAGCGCCCAGGUCUGCAGUAGUGAGAGGCAUCCGCCAAUGUUGUGAACUUUCGGAUCUGUCGCCCGACAAAGCUCUCGAUACAAGACUGCUAGCACAGCUGAGCCCCAGCUAUAGGAGCUAACACUGGACAAGUCAGCUAACAGGGGCAAGUACAUCAAAUGCACCUUGUCGUUGCUUGCAUCAGGCAUGAUUUCUCCCCCUAUGAUAUGCAUGAUGUACGCUCGAGCAGCGCACAUAAACUCGCCUUCAGUGGCUGUCACUGAUAAUU
rnacentral:lncRNA from 1 species